rnacentral:lncRNA from 1 species
AUUUAAUCACCUAUGAUGACGUGCAUGUGAACUUCACUCAGGAAGAGUGGGCUUUGUUGGAUCCUUGUCAUAAAAAUCUCUACAAAGAUGUGAUGGUAGAGACCUAUAGGAAUCUCACAGCUAUAGGUUACAUUUGGGAAGAACAUACAAGUGAAGACCAUUUUCAAACUUCUAGAAGUCAUGGAAGGCAUGAAAGAAGUUGUUCUGCAGAGCAACCCUCUGAGUUUAUUCAAUGUGGUAAAGCCUUUGCAUAUGAGAGUUGUAGUCAAAGGCAUCAAAUAAAACAUACUGGAGAGAAACACCAUGACUGUAACCAAUGUGGUAAAGCUUUUAAAAGAAGGAGUGACCUCCAAAUCCAUAAUCGAACACAUACAGGAGAGAAACCCUAUGAAUGUAAACAAUGUGGUAAAGCGUUUGCACAUAGCAGUCAUCUCCACAUACAUGAGCGAACACAUACAGGAGAGAAACCCUAUAAAUGUAACCAAUGUGGAAAAGCCUUUGCAAGAAGUGAUGACCUCCAAAAACAUAAACGAACACAUACAGGAGAGAAACCCUAUGAAUGUAAACAAUGUGGUAAAGCCUUUGCAGGAAGCAGUGGUCUCCAAUGCCAUAAAAGAUCACAUACAGGAGAGACACCAUAUGAAUGUAACCAAGGUGGUAAACCCUUUGAAGGAAGCAGUGGUCUUGAAUAUAAUAAUCGAACACAAACAGCUGAAAAACCCUAUGAAUGUAACCAAUGUGGUAAAGCCUUUGCAGGAAGGAGUGACCUUUAAAGAGAAAAGACGAUACAGGAGAGAAACUCUAUGAAAGUAUCUGAUGUUGUAAAGCCUUUGCAGCAAGCAUUGAUCUCCAAGUACAUAAAUGAACAUAGACCAGAAAGGAACCUUUUAAAUGUAACCAAAGUGGUAAAGCUU